CUUAUUUUCCUCCACUGUAGAAAAAGGGAGGGAGCUUUGAUGAAAACAAAAUUGUAGGAGCGUAGAUACCCUACUGAUAAAAAAAUAAUAAGAAAAGAACAAGAUAAGAGAGACAUAGACAGAUAGGGAGAUAAAGAUAGACAGAAUGGGUUAAGAAAGAGAAAAUGUGUUCAGGAAAAUGAAAGAGAGAGAACGAGGGAGGGAAGCAGGAUGAAUGGUAAAAAAAAAAAAAAAUAGAGUGAGAGAUGAAGUCAAUUAAAUAAAUGAGUAAUGUGGAUUGAGUGAGGAAAAAAAAUUAACAAGUGAGACAGAAAACAUAAAAGAAAACUGAGAGAAAGAUAGAAAGGGAGAGGAUGAAUGAGAGGAAUGAAGGAUGGAGCUUGGGUGAGACCGAGGCAGAAAGAGGCACAGAUAGACAGAACCACAAAAUAACUGGAGAGGGAGAGAGAGUGAGAGAGAAUUGUGAGAAACAAAGUGAUAAAGGGGAGGGAGAAAGAAAGAAAUACUGGAGAUAGAAAGACCAAAAUAAAAUGAGAAUGAACAUUAACGAUAGAAUUACACAGAGGAAAAGUGAAAGAAUGAGGGAUUGAGACCCUGAAGAGAGAAAAUGAAAGGAGAAGGAAGAGUGGAGUUUGGAUAAGAGAGAAUGAGAGAAAGACAUGAUGUAAACAGAAAAGAGAACAAAUGCGUUGAAGAGAAAUAGUGAGAGGGAAGGAGGGAAGAGGGGGACAGUGUGAAUGAGAAAGAUUGAGAAAGGAGGGAGAGGAAAUUAUAUCUUUAAAAAGAGAUACGGAAUGAAGGAAGGACGUCGAAAGAGAGGAUGAAUAAAGAAAGAACGAAGGAUGGAGUUUGGAGUUGAGAGAAAUACAGGAAAGGAAUGGGGAAAUGCGGGGAUGGAAGCAAACAGGGGAGGAGGGAGUUAAUGACAGAGGGGUGAGGGAGAUGGGGACAGAAAGAGAGGAGGGGACGGAGGAAAAGAGAACAAGGUAUGGAGGUUGCAUGAGGGAGACAGAGAAAACAAG
ensembl:lncRNA